UUGCCGGUGGCGAAGCCGGUGCCGCCCAGGGUGACGCCCUGGUAGAGGGUGACGUCGCGGCCGAUCUCGGCGGUCUCGCCGAUC
rnacentral:tRNA from 1 species